rnacentral:rRNA from 1 species
GGCUGAAACUACGCCUACAUGAAGCUGGAGUUGCUAGUAAUCGCGAAUCAGCAUGUCGCGGUGAAUACGUUCCCGGGCCUUGUACACACCGCCCGUCACACCAUGAGAGUUGGCAAUACCCAACGUACGUGAUCUAACCCGCAAGGGAGGAAGCGUCCUAAGGUAGGGUCAGCGAUUGGGGUGAAGUCGUAACAAGGUACC